UACAUGUGGGGCAAGCGUUGUUCGGAAUUACUGGGCAUAAAGGGUGCGUAGGUGGUUUGUUAAGUCAGGGGUGAAAUCCCGCGGCUCAACCGUGGAACUGCCUUUGAUAUUGGCGAACUUGAGUGCGUGAGGGGUAGGGGGAACGAGCAGUGUAGCGGUGAAAUGCGUAGAUAUUGCUCGGAAGGCCAGAGCCGAAGGGGCCCUACUGGUGCGUAACUGACACUGAGGCACGAAAGCGUGGGGAGCAAACAGG
rnacentral:rRNA from 1 species